CAGUGUUGAUGUACUAUUUGAUGCCCUAACGGAAUAGCUAGGUGCCACAGUCUGCACCAUGUAUCCAACCAUACAUGUUCAGGAUGACUGUGUGAGCGUACAGAGCUGGUAAAUUAAGAACCCCAUCACCCUUUUUACCUUCUCUUUUCUUUUUAUUUUUUCCCUUCUCUCCCAUUACCUUCUCCAUUCACAGCCAUUCUUCUCAUUACAAAAAAUUACAGGGGCCCCAUUCAAGUGAGCACACACGACGAAGAUUGUUCAUUCCAAGUGGGCUAAGUAAUGCCUCUACUCCUGAAUCGUAAAUGUCAUUACAAAUUUUAGUUUGAAAAUAGUCUGCACCAUGUCUACAACCAUACAUGUUCAGGAUGACUGUGUGAGUGUACAGUGCUGGUAAAUUAAGAACUCCCAUCACCCUUUUUACCUUCUCGUUUCUUUUUAUUUUUUCCCUUCUCUCCCAUUACCUUCUCCAUUCACAGCCAUUCUUCUCAUUACAAAAAAUUUCAUGUUUGGAUUCACCAGUUCUGGGACUGCAUUAUGUGUAACAAUCAUUUCAUGGACUUCCUUUACUCAUAAUGUUACAAUUUCUUUCUUUUCAAUUUCUUGGUUUAAUGUGAAGCAAAAUUGAUCAAACCACGAUUGUGAUAGCAUUAGCAUUAUAGUUAAUGUUAUAUUGGGUGAUAAAUUAGGUUAAUUGGAUGUUUGGCAAAGAAUUGGAGCUUCCCUUACUGAGUUCCAAGCUCCAGAAAUUUCAAAAUGGAAAUCAUCCAGACCGCAGUUAUGUCCAUACUCCAUAACUCCAUAUACCGUGUUUUUUUAAUGGGUGGUAUGAUUGAGUCGACUUACAACUAUCUUAACAUAGCGAUUGGAGUUACUCACAUCUUGCAAAACUAGAAUAAUUUUUUUAAUUGAAGGCCUUGGAACAGCAGUUAAAGAUGAAAGCUUAUUAUGAUAAUCUUUAAACAGGGUUGUAAGUUUAGAUCAAUGUUUGGAAACAGAUCAAGCUCAACUUGUUUGUGAAGCAUGAGUCAAGCCCAAACAAUCUACUUUUUUUUAUGGAUUAACAAGUCGAACAGGCCUAGUUCAUUUUUGUUGUUUCAAUCCCGUUCAUCUUAGCCUACAGUUAAGCCUAAUCUCUACCAAUCAUUUGAUCAGGCCACUGAAAUAAAAUCCAAGUCCUGUAAGUAUUAUGAAUUGAGAUUUUAGAACCCAAUGCUUUUGUGCCAUUCUCACUCUAUUCUAUUUUCUUCUUUGGUUCUCCCGGUGGUAGUCAUGUGGACCCAAAAUGGACCAACCUACUUUCCAGUGCUCCCCUCCCACAUUUCUCCAUCUCCACCUCUACGAAUACAACUAUUGUAGAUGCCAACUUGGCUGCUGCCACCUACUCGAAACCUCCAACACAUGAUUGAGCCUAUGACCAACAUAAAACAAAUUAAAUAUUCUCAAAAAAAUAACAGUAUAAUGCUGGUCAAAUUAAAUCAUUACUUAAAAACAUAAAAUAUUUUCAAAAAAAAAUAUUAUGUACAUUAUAGUUGGGAAAAGAAGUGUAAAUUUCUUCCAAUGUGGUGCUUAGAAAUGUACC
rnacentral:lncRNA from 1 species